rnacentral:rRNA from 1 species
UGCAUGUCUCAGUACAAGCCAAAUUAAGGUGAAACCGCGAAAGGCUCAUUAAAUCAGUUAUGGUUCCUUAGAUCGUACCACAUUUACUUGGAUAACUGUGGUAAUUCUAGAGCUAAUACAUGCAAACAGAGCUCCGACCGGAGACGGAAGGAGCGCUUUUAUUAGAUCAAAACCAAUCGGUGGCGGGCUUGCUCGUCAUCGUACAUUUUGGUGACUCUGAAUAACUUUUUGCUGAUCGCACGGUCUCGCACCGGCGACGCAUCUUUCAAAUGUCUGCCUUAUCAACUGUCGAUGGUAGGUUCUGCGCCUACCAUGGUUGUAACGGGUAACGGGGAAUCAGGGUUCGAUUCCGGAGAGGGAGCCUGAGAAACGGCUACCACAUCCAAGGAAGGCAGCAGGCGCGCAAAUUACCCACUCCCGGCACGGGGAGGUAGUGACGAAAAAUAACGAUACGGGACUCAUCCGAGGCCCCGUAAUCGGAAUGAGUACACUCUAAACUCUUUAACGAGAACCCAUUGGAGGGCAAGUCUGGUGCCAGCAGCCGCGGUAAUUCCAGCUCCAAUAGCGUAU